GAAUGCCAUCAAUAUUCCAUAUGACUAAGAACAAGGGAAAUAAAAAGCCCAUAACACUGAGACAAUCAAAAACACUAAAAAAUCAAAAAUUAUAACACCAGAAAAACCUCAAAUCUCAUAACCCACACAUAAAAUUCUCAAUUGCCUAACACAAAAACAAAUCAAUAACUGUGCAACAAAACCCAUAAAACCGACAACCAAAAAAAUGAGAAAUAACAAGCAACUGUUGUAAUUUGUGGUUGCCGACAUUGGUGAGAAUAGUUGGUGCUAUUCUUAAUGUCGAUUAUAGCUAGAUAUUUGCGAAAGGCUUUGCAAAAGGCAAAUUCACUCAUCACAACAUCAUGGGAGUCCCUUGGCCUUCCAAAUUGAAGAACAACAGAUGGGCUUUAGAGGCGAUAACGAAGUAGAUGGGUCUCAUCACAAUUUUAGGGUAACAUAGAAAUAAAUGUUGUGCUCUUCAUGUAAUCAACAAAGAAAGCUGAAUGAUGUUGGGUUUUCUUCACUCUGCGUGGCUCCUUGAAGGAAGAUUUAAAGGAAGAUUUGGAGGGCAAAGGUAUAGGAUUUGGAGAGGAAGCAGAGGGAUAGGUGGUGGAGGAGAGGAAUAUCAUAGGUUGCACAUAAGAGAAGCGAGGGACUAUACAUGAGUGGGCAAUUUAGUUUAUUC
rnacentral:misc_RNA from 1 species